rnacentral:lncRNA from 1 species
CCCUCUGGUCAGGCUGCUUCAAAUCUAACCCUACCCCUAAGUUCUGUUCAGAAGCUCGGGGCAUCGUUUUUUCUUUUCCCUCCCUUUUUAACUUAAAAAUGUAAGUAUUACUUCAUACACUUUUACUCUAAAAAUCACAACCAUGUAUGACACUGAAGACAGAGAAGCCCAUCACCGGAGCCCGACGGUCUCAGUGCAUUUUCGUGCAUUUGCUCUCAGCCUUUUUCCCGCCCUUUUUAGGAUCUGGUUUUUGUUUCAUACAGUUGCAAAUACGUCGUAUAUGUAAUUUUAUAUUCUGCUUUUGCCACUUAUUAUUUAAAAUUUUUAGUAUCUAGUCGUCAAAGUCAGAAUUGUCAUGGCUCUACCGUCUCUCAGGACAGGCUAUUCAGCCUGUUUUUCUUAAUCAGUUACCUAAAUUGGGAUUUUUCAGGUUACUUCAGCUUUUCCGUUACUCUAAACACCAUUUCAGGCAAUGUCUUUGCGACAGAGCUUUUGUCCUCAUUCAUGGCUGGGUCUGGAAGGUGACUGUGAGCAAGGGAGCGCCUCCGAGCUGCGUGUGGAGCUUGGGCGGGGGCGGCUCACCCCUCAGCAGGAGCACGAGACCAAGGACCUUCAGACUUGGUCCCGGGGCGUCUCGGGGAGGCCGCACCCAGUCCCGCCGAGGAGCUGAACCCUGACUCCAGGCUCCGGUCGGCGGCGGAGGCACCGUGCCAGGUGCGCCCUCCCUGCUGGCCGGCCAUCUCUGAGGGCCCUCGUGCCAGGACAGAAAGUGUGCUGCUGAGGCCACGCGGGCGAGACCCGGGACAAGAGCCGCUUCACCGAGCCCGGCCUCCGGGACACCGGUUUUUGAAUCUGCGUCUCUGUCUCACACAGGUGUGCCCCGCAGUUAAUAUUUUGGGUCCCUCAUUUUCCUGUUACCACCCCCCUGCCCACCCUGUUCCUGUUCGAGUAGCAGCCUGGGGACCGCACAGUGUCUAAAGCAGGCCGCCCUCCUGCCGUCCCCACCACAGGACCCCGCACGGGGCCUCGCCCGGCCCAGGGCUCGUGUCCGGUCGCACCGCACUCACCUGCAGUGACAAAAUGCUCUCCGGGAGGAGGGUGAUGGUGGACGCCAUGUCCGGGCACGGAGCGGACAAUGUGAGGUCCAGCGACGGAGCGGGCGAUGUGAGGUCCGUGGACGUGAGGCUGAGGAUGCAGAGGAGGAAGGAAGGGCAGUGUCGGUCCACCUCGCUCUGGGGGCUCCGGGGGAUCCUUCCGGAACCGCGAGGUGGCCCUGACCUUGGAGCCCACACCCCUUCUCCUAAAGGGCACGCAGGUCCAGAGCCAAAGGCUCCCCAGGCCCAUUUCAGAUUGGCUGGGGACCCUGCCCCUUCCAGCUUCCUCCUGUGGGGUGUGCCUAGCCUGGGUCCGUCCCCUCAGGGUAUUUUGGAAGCAAAUAGUCUGGCUUGGUGGGGUCCCAGAAGGAGGGAAUUUUGUCCAGGACGAGGCAUUCUCUGAAUUGCGGCCAUCACGGAUUUGGAUCACAGCGAUGGUGCAGCCCGGGACUCUGAGCUGAUGCUUGAAUGAGGGAAGGUGUGAUGGGUGAAUUACUUACACGAGGGAGGAGCGUGGAUUUGGGUGGGCCAGAGGGCAGACUGUUAUGGGGUUAAUUCGAGAAACACAAAUAGCUGACCCUUGAACACAGUGGGUCUGAGCUGUGUGUGUGUCCACGAGACACCCAUUUCCUCCAGAGCCUCAGGUGUCACACCCAAGGAGACACCCGACCUUGGCCUGACAUGUCCGCCUGCGGUUGAUUGAAUCCAUGGAUCCAGCGCCAGGGAUAUGGGGGCCCAGCGAUGGGACUUGAGCAGCCACAGACCCUGGUCGUGCAGGGGCUCCUGGAGCCAAGCCCCCACAAUGCCAGGGGCAACUGUAUCGGGGGCCCCAUGCAGGACCUCAGAAAGGGCCCGUAUUUGGAGAUAAGGCCUUUCAGAAGCAUCAGCUUCCGACGAGGCCAGUGGAAUGGGUAUCAAUCCACCACGCAUGGCAGCCUAGAAAGAGGGGCUUGUGCCCAGCGACAGCCGGGCACGGAGGGAAGACAGCAUGAGGACACGGGGAGACCACUUCCACCUGCACGCCGCCGAGAGGGCCCUGGAGCAGACCCCCCGCCCGCCCCUUGCUCAGACCUCCUGGCCCCGGAGCAGUGAGACAACGCGGCUCUACCUCCAAAGCCGCUGCCUUGGCGGCGCGUUGCUCUGACAGCGCUGGUGGCCGAGACACCUGCCGUGAUACUGAGGGCAUUUGCUGGUUCUCCGCCCUCUGCCAGGGGCCGACCUGUCUCAUCCGGAGACAGGGGGUGCUUUUCAUAUGUGUCCUCACCCCAGUGGCAGUCUUUCUGACAGGCACCUCCAUCCGCUCCUGGCAGAACCUUUGCAUCUAACGGGCUCGACACUGACUCCAAGCGAGGAGCCCUGACUUCCAAGAGCUCACCUGAAACUACGUGUCCUCAGAGGCCAAGAAAGGCUCUGAGACGCCGCACGGCCUGUGCUCCCUGAGCGGCACAGGGCACCAGCGAGUGCCGCCUUAUUUCUGUGUCUGCACACGUUGGUUGGAGACGGGAGAAAAUUACCGUCAGGUUUGCAAGUUCACUGAGCAAAACCGAGAUGGAUAACACACCUCGAAGCUUCUUACCUGUGCAGAGGUGGCAUCAGGAUGACAACUGGCCCCUGUGAGAGAAGUAAAAAUUACUGAAACUGUAGAGGAAGGAAUGGUCUACCCGGAUGCCACUCUUUCCCAACACUCAAGUCUACCUUUAGCUGACUUGAAGUGACGCGUCUGGGGACGCCUGAGACCUGGGAGGGGCGCCCCCUUUCCUCCCCAACCACGUGCGCGCGCGGGCACAGGUGGGACCCGCCUUGAACUUCUGUUUGGCUUUGCCUGCAGGGCGAGCGCCAGCGGGGCGCGCUGCUCUCUUCUGCCUUGGCCUCUCUCGCCCACGUGCAGGGCACCCGACUGCGGUUUUCGUUUGCAUCCUCCUGGCGUCUAUGACACCGACCUCCUGUCACAUGCUAGUCUGCCACCCCCAUGUCCUUUUCGGUAGAGAGUUUCUUCCAAUUUUUGCCUAUUUUAAAAACUAGGUCAUUUUUCUUAGAGUUUUGAACGUUCUUUAUUCUGGAUACAAGUAUAUGGAUUGGAAAUAGUUAUUCCAGUCCGUGGCUUAUGUUUUUAUUUUUGUAAUGGUGAAUUCUGAAGGGCAAAUAAUUUUCAUUUUGAUGAAGGCCACUAUUUCAUAUUUUUCUCGAAUAGUGUGUUUGGUGUCAUACGAAGAAAGACUUUGCCUGACUCAAGGUCACAAAGAUUUUAUUUUGCCUUCUUCCUCAAGUGUCAGCCUUUAGCCCUUCAGUUCAGGUCUUUGACUGACGUGAGUUACACUGUGCAGGCGGUGAAGUAGGGCAUCAAUUAUGAAAAACAUAUUUCUCCCCCUUGAACUGACUUAGCUCCUUCGUGUAAAAUCCGCUGACCAGGGAUGUAAAGAUUUUCCCUCUGGAGUCUCCGUUCUGGUCCAUUGAUCACAGAUCCGUCCCUACGCUGGCACCAUUCCGUCUUGAUUCCCACAGCUUUACGGUAAAUUUUGCAGUCAGACUGUGUAAGUCUUCCGGUUUGGUGGCUCUUUUCCUGAAUUGUUUUGGGCACCCUAAGUUCCCUGAAGUUCCGCAUAUAGUUGGCUCUUUCCUUAAAGAAAGAAAGCUUGCUGGGAAUCCAGCGGGGAUCGUGUGAAUCUGUAGAUCAAUGUGGGGAAACUUGCCAUAUUUUUCCAUCGUGACAACUUUGAACCUUCCAGUCCACAGAUGCUGGAAAUCUUUCCUUCUGUUUGGGUUGGGUUUAACUUCUCUCAGCUUUAGCCUGUAGCUUUACAUACACAGAUUUCUGUCCUUGUUUUGUUAUUUUAUUAUUUUUUGAUACUACUGUGAAUGGAAUAGUUUUCUUCUUUUUUAUGGCCACACCCAUGGAAGCUCUGAGGGCCAGAGAUUGAAUCCAAGCCACACCUGUGGCCUAUGCUGGAGCGGUGGUAACGCCAGACUCUUUAACCCACAGCACUGGGCUGGGGAGCCAACCCGCACCUCCACAGUGACCCGAGCCGCUGUAUCAGAUUCUUAACCCACUGGGCCACAGGGGGAACUCCUGAAAUAGUUUUCUUUACGCCAUUUUCGUAUUUUCAUUUCUAGUGUAUAGAAAUAUAAGCUCGGUUUUUAAUAUUGAUUUCAUAUCCUACCACCUCGCUAAGCUAUCUUACUAUUUCUACUAGCCUUUCUGCAGUUUUUUAAGAUCAUGUUUCCUGCAAAUAAAUACUGUUUCACUUUCAUGUCUAUAUAUAUUUUUUGGCUUCACCGCACAGGCUGGAAGUUUAAUGAAAUGUCUAAUAGAAAUUUGGAGUGGACAUUCUUUUCUUCGUGCCAAUCUUAAGAGGAAGGCAUCCGGUGUGGAUUAAGUAUGAGUUAGUUGUAAAUUUCAUCAGUGUUCUUUGUCAGAUUCAGGCUGUUUUUCCCCCCCAGGGUUGUAAAAUUGUUUGGCUAUAACUGGAUGUGCUGUGAUUUUUCUGAUUUAUUGAUGUGCUUAUGUAUUUGUUACCUUAUUAAUAUUCUUAUUACAUUAAUAUAUUUUCGGAUGU